AAACAUGUCAGCUUGCCGCGCGGCACUAUCCCGAAGCUUUGAAUACCUUUGAAUAUUUCUCACCGAAGCUUUGAAGCCCAAAAAUUGGUAUUCAGGACAGUCCUACA